UUCCCAAACACCUCAGUAGACCAUCGUUUCAUCAAAGAGCGGCUGCGAGGAAACAACAACUUGCACUGGCUUGCUUGUGUUGAAGCUAACCUGUGCCCAUUUUAGUACUUAUGAUUCUUUUUGUCCUUUUUCUGUGGUCAGUGUGUAAUUUUCCCUGUAAAUACUCUUGGAUAUUCGAUGAGAUGACUUUAGUUGGGUGGAAAAUGCAAUGCAAUCCUUUUGUCUGA
rnacentral:misc_RNA from 1 species